GACUAAUUAUGAUAUUUAAUGUGCAAUAAAAAUAUACAUCAGACUUAAAUUGUGUUAGUUUGUCAGUAAGAUUAGGGAGGUUUUUCUUGCUUUAUUUGUUCGUCGUGCGAAGUGUCAUCUUUUGUAACAUGACUCAGAGCGUCACAGGCGGAAGGUCACGGAGCAGCGGAACGGAACUGAAGCUGGGGAGUCCGCCAUUGUAGAGUGUGGUCAGAGAUAUUCCCGUAAUUAGACACUCGUCAGUCUCAGAUUGACUGAUAAAAACGCCAUCUGUGGCCGGAUCAGACACGGAAUUGACGUCUCUUCCCUGCAGACGACGAGUCGACGUUUAGAACAACCCGAAGCAGCGCCUCGCCAUCGGGUCUGAAGCUAGGCAGGAAAAAAAGCCGCCUUUUCGCGUUAACAGAGUGGUUUAAAACGAGCCAGGAAAGCAGCAAAGUGCACGCAGGCAGCAGAAGCCGUGGACAGUGUGAUCAGCAGUGGACAGUUUGGCUUCCUGGAGGAUGUCUGCGACCACAGUCGACCAGCGACCUAAAGGACAAGGGAAUAAAGUGCAAAAUGGAUCCAAUGCAUCAGAAGGAUGGUGUGAAUGAAGAUGACUUUGAGCCAUAUCUAAGCAGCCAGACAAAUCAG